ACUGGGGAUGAAAGUCUGGCCUUCUCCAGGCUGUUCCCAGAGAGACUUCUUUGCUGAAAUCGUUAAUGUCCUCUUCAAGUACCCCAUUUCAUUUUAUCUGUGCGACAAACCCUUUGAGGCAGGCCAGGCGGGUUUCAGAUGCUAUUAUCAGGAGAGAGUGCAGUUUCCUUUCCGUAGACCUCGCAGGACUGCUUGCCCGGAGGGCCAAGUAAUUGGCCCAGCAGGAAAGAGGAAGCUCGGGCAUCUAUACUCUGCAGUUCCCAAGCCUCUCCUCCUCCUCGGCCGGGCACGUGGCAUUUCCUUGGUGGCCACAGAUGUCUUUUUACCGUCUUCAUUCCUUUGCAGCUGGGGACCAAGGAGUCCCGGGUUUCCUCUCCCUUCAGAAGCCCAGAGUGUAUUUGUAGCAAUUGGACGUGUCACACCCACAGUUUCUAGAAGCCAACAUAGUAUAGGACUCGGCAUUGGUUGCUGUGUACCUGCUAUGUGAUCAAUGACACUCAGCAUUCAGGGGACACCAAAUACAAGAGCUGGCCAUCCAAUUCUCAUUUAGACGACACUGAGGAAGGAUGGAAGCUAACCCUUCUCGAACACCUACUUAACGGCAGAUCUGGUCCUGCAUCACCUUCCAACCCUCCAGUGAUCCUGUGGGGCGGGUAAUAAAGUCCCCAUUUUGCGCAUGUA